rnacentral:rRNA from 1 species
UCCAGCCUGCCCGGUGAUAAAAUUUAACGGCCGCGGUACCCUAACCGUGCGAAGGUAGCAUAAUCACUUGUUCUUUAAAUGAGGACUAGUAUCAACGGCAUCACGAGGAUCCUACUGUCUCCCCCCUCCAGUCAGUGAAACUGAUCUCUCCGUGAAGAAGCGGAGAUACGCAUAUAAGACGAGAAGACCCCAUGGAGCUUUAAACCCAACAACACCCGCCUCCCUUAAACCCUAUUAUCAGCCCGGCGAUUGUUUGCUUGGUUUUAGGUUGGGGUGACCACGGAGUACAAAACAUCCUCCAUGAAAAAAAGCUAACUGCCCUUAUUAGAGAAAGACAUUUCCAAAAAAUAACAAAUUAAUUUUUAAUGACCCGAUAUUCGAUCAACGAACCAAGUUACCCUGGGGAUAACAGCGCAAUCCGCCCCGAAAGCCCCUAUCGACAGGCGGGUUUACGACCUCGAUGUUGGAUCAGGGUAUCCUAGUGGUGCAGCAGCUACUAACGGUUCGUUUGUUCAACGAUUAAAACCCU